CUUGUGGCUGUGAUUCCCCGUCACUAUCAUCAGUAAAUGUUAUGGCAGUGAUGAACGUGAUAUCCCACUCCGCAACCUUCAUGGAGUCAAUUUUGCCUUACGCAGGUAUCCCGCGCAAUAUAUUUUGCGUGGUAAAUUUAAACAUCGGUUGUAAGGCUAGGUUAUUGAACUGUCAGAUGCGAAAAUGCUGUUAUGUUGAUUGAGGUUAUGUUGUAGUAUUGGAAUUGCACAUUUAAGUUAGGUGUGCGAAUUGUUGGUUUUGUUAUUGACUGAUUUAAAUUGAUUUAACAAAACCUAAACAUAACACGUUUAUUAAUAUUUCUGUGUCACUUCAACGUUAAAUGUUGAUCGGAUGGGUUGAAUUAGUGAUUUACUUUUUGUGAACGAAUUAACGAAUAUCGCGUAUUAAAAGUGACUAAGGGCGUUGCAGCAGUCGUGCAAAACUAUUACAAUUUUCUUUUCUUUUGUAGAUUAGUGCCUAGUGCCACUUUUUUUAUAUUUCAUUUUGAUGAUUUAGGUUAGGUCAAAUUUAUGGGCAAGAAUAGUUAAACUAGAAUCAGUCAUGAAUAAUUCUGCAACAGAACGUUACAGAAGGUAUCGGAUUUGCAUUCGUCACUUUGAACUAAAAAUGUAUCCACAUCAGCUGUUGUGCCACCGACCGAAAGCAACAGCCUAUCCAACUCUUCAUGUUUCAGGUGAAACAAUAAGGACUACCAAACAAACAGUUGUGACAAACGAACCAAGACUUUCCACCUCAAAAAAUAUUGACAUUUAUGAAUCGUCACAUUUUACUUCUGGCAGUGUUUACUCUGAUUAAGCAACACCACUAAGGCCGUCCACAACGAUAAGUACCUAUUUACUCUUUCACUUUAUUUUUGUUGGAAUUAACAUAAUGUAUUAAUCAUUUUUAGGUUAUGAAAUUUGUUUAGAUUAUUUUCAGCAUUGUGAAGGAACAAACAAUGUUGACGAUGGAGAACAUUUUUAAUAAUAUUAGACAGCGGAAGGAUGAGUGCUUAUAAUUUUGACUACCUAUUUGUUUCCAGAGAAAAACAUUUUUACUCCUUUAACUGUAGAAACUGCAGAACAUACAAAUGUAGAAUAUCCUCUACUACAUAUGUGGGUAUUUAUUUUAGAAAUGUUUAUCACCUCAUUCUUGUUCCAGGUGUGUUGAAUAUGGGAAUACUCAGUAUGAAGUGAAUGAAAUGACUGAACAGGUUUUCCAUGUUGCAUGGCAUUUCAAUCGACCAAAUCUAUUUGAAGGAUUAACAAUGCUGUCAUUAGGAUUUUACGAGUAUAUUAAAAACAGGAUAACGUCUGCUGCGAACUUUUUCAGACAGUGGCUUUAGGUUCAAAUGUAGGCUUAAGUUAAAGGAGCUGCUAGCAACUAUUAAUUACGCUCUCCCAAGUGAUAAUUUUCAAAUAGAAUAUUUGCUGUCUUUGUAAGAAUGAGAAUAUUCCAUUGAACAAAAAUUGCCAAUAUGGAACGUUUAAAAUCAACACGACAUCAGAAAAAGCGAGAUUGGAUAAUAGUUUACGACAUCUGUAGAAGUUGUCAAGUCAAGUUUUUGUUAGACGUCUAUAUUUUUCGUAUAUUAGACUGUGAUAUGUUAAACUGGUGGGCUUUCUUCUAGUCAUUUUUAGUGGUAGGUGUAUUUAUUUGUAUAUUAGUUUUCAGAUAAAGGGAGGCUCUGAUUAAUAUAUGUAGACUUGUCCUGUUGCUUUCCAGUAAGCAUUAGCUAUCCAUCUAUCACGCUCUACGAUCACAUUAUCUGAAAAGUUUUGUGUCGUAUAUUUAUUAUUAGGGCGUAUUUAUUUUUGUCAAUAAAUAAAUGAAAUGUGGUUAUUUUUUACAAAUAA